GCGGGAGUGGUGGAAUUGGCAGACACGCAGGAUUUAGGUUCCUGUGCCUUCGGGCGUGAGGGUUCAAGUCCCUCCUUCCGCA
rnacentral:tRNA from 4 species